rnacentral:rRNA from 1 species
GCCAGGAAAAUGUCACCCUCCACUCACUAGGUCACAGUAGCUAAGCAGGAAUGGGCCUGGUUCCUUCUUGGUUGGGAGACCACCUGGGCAUACUGUAGGCUUUUCCUUUCC